CUAAUUCAGCCCACGCACCUGCACAGAAAACCCACAUCAACGUGCUUGCUUCGGCAGUCAGCCCGUGGAGCCAAAAGCUGAGCCUGAAAGCAAAGGUGAAAUCAAAUACGAAAAUUGCACAGCAGCCUUGCCGGAGUCCGCUACCCAGAGGCCCCGCUGAAACCCCAUCUGGCAGCCUCCACACAGACAAGAAGACGGUGCUCAGGGUGUGACAUGGUGAUGUCGCCAGUAAGGAUGUGGUCCUUUCUGCUGGCCGUGGUCAUCCUUCGUGAAGCUAACGGAGAUGGAUGGGUAAUAAAACACCUUUCGGAAAGGCACCAAGUGAGCACUCCUGCUUCCGCUCGCACCUUCUGCACCCAGAGACGACGUGGAAAGGGAAGCAUCGCUGGACUCUCAGCCUUUCCUGCAUUUGAAGACCAACCUUUCGAUGCCUCCAUUUCCAACCAGCAAUGUACUCUCAGAAGGUUCUCCUAGUAGUUCAGUGACAUUGUCUCGUGUGGAAUCGUGAUUACACAGACGAGAUGUGAAGCACACUCGGGCACUGUUGGGAUCUACCUUGCUUACCAAGAUGCAUGCAGCUGCCAACCUCACUCAUACCAUGUCCCAUUCCUCAAACAGUCACUUCAGUGAAUAUAAAUUGUUAAUGAGAUUAGCAUAAUACCUAUCACAUUUGAAAUUGUGGGCAAUUAGAUACUACCAUUUAAAUAGAUAUUUCCCAUGAGAUUUUCUUUUGCUAAAGAUCUUCCUUGGCAAUGAAGUCUUCAAAAUGUAAAAUUAUUCUCUCUCUCUCUCUCUCUCUCUCUCUCUCUCUCUCUCUCUGUCUAUCUGUGUGUGUCUGUGUGUGUGUGAACAGAUUGUCAGAUUCCAUCUUUUUGGUAUGACAUUUGCCACCAUUCUAGUCGCGGUGGGUUCAUACAUCCCAAGGCAGGAGCUUGAGGGUUAGACAACAUUAAGCAGGAAGACAGAGAUAAGGAAGAAUCACAGAGACACGGGAUAGUAACGGAAAGGCGACUCAGUGAACAAGGAAUAAUACUGCAAGUAGCCCUCGUUUCUUGGCAU